GUCCGCGUAACUCAGUGGUAGAGUGUGAGAUUGCAACUGUCAUGCGUUUAUCUUGAAGCCGCGUGUUCGAACCACGCCGCGGACU